rnacentral:tRNA from 1 species
GUAAGCAUAGUUUAACUAAAACUUUAGAUUGUGAAUCUAACAAUAGAAAGUAACCUUUCUUGCUUACC